AUUGAACGCUGGCGGCAUGCCUUACACAUGCAAGUCGAACGGCAGCACGGGUGCUUGCACCUGGUGGCGAGUGGCGAACGGGUGAGUAAUACAUCGGAACGUACCUUAUCGUGGGGGAUAACGCAGCGAAAGCUGUGCUAAUACCGCAUACGCCCUGAGGGGGAAAGCGGGGGAUCGCAAGACCUCGCGCGAUUAGAGCGGCCGAUGCCUGAUUAGCUUGGUGGUGGGGUAAAAGCCCACCAAGGCGACGAUCAGUAGCUGGUCUGAGAGGACGAUCAGCCACACUGGGACUGGGACACGGCCCAGACUCCUACGGGAGGCCGCAGUGGGGAUUUUGGACAAUGGGGGCAACCCUGAUCCAGCAAUGCCGCGUGUGUGAAGAAGGCCUUCGGGUUGUAAAGCUCUUUUGUCAGGGAAGAAACACCGGCUCUAACACAGUCCGGGAAUGACGGUACCUGAAGAAUAAGCACCGGCUAACUACGUGCCAGCCGCCGCGGUAA
rnacentral:rRNA from 1 species